rnacentral:rRNA from 1 species
ACAUCCAGAGAACUUAGCAGAGAUGCUUUGGUGCCUUCGGGAACUCUGAGACAGGUGCUGCAUGGCUGUCGUCAGCUCGUGUUGUGAAAUGUUGGGUUAAGUCCCGNAACGAGCGCAACCCCUAUCCUUUGUUGCCAGCGAUUCGGUCGGGAACUCAAAGGAGACUGCCGGUGAUAAACCGGAGGAAGGUGGGGAUGACGUCAAGUCAUCAUGGCCCUUACGAGUAGGGCUACACACGUGCUACAAUGGCGCAUACAAAGAGAAGCGACCUCGCGAGAGCAAGCGGACCUCAUAAAGUGCGUCGUAGUCCGGAUUGGAGUCUGCAACUCGACUCCAUGAAGUCGGAAUCGCUAGUAAUCGUAGAUCAGAAUGCUACGGUCGAAUACGUUCCGGGCCUUGUACACACCGCCCGUCACACCAUGGGAGUGGGUUGCAAAAGAAGUAGAUAGCUUAACCUUCGGGAGGGCGUUUACCACUUUGUGAUUCAUGACUGGGGUGAAGUCGUAACAAGGUAGGCGUACGUGU